rnacentral:rRNA from 1 species
CCUACGGGAGGCAGCAGUGGGGAAUAUUGCACAAUGGGGGAAACCCUGAUGCAGCGACGCCGCGUGAGUGAAGAAGUAUUUCGGUAUGUAAAGCUCUAUCAGCAGGGAAGAAAAUGACGGUACCUGAUUAAGAAGCCCCGGCUAACUACGUGCCAGCAGCCGCGGUAAU